rnacentral:rRNA from 1 species
ACGCUGGCGGCAGGCCUAACACAUGCAAGUCGAGCGGUAGAGAGAAGCUUGCUUCUCUUGAGAGCGGCGGACGGGUGAGUAAUGCCUAGGAAUCUGCCUGGUAGUGGGGGAUAACGUUCGGAAACGGACGCUAAUACCGCAUACGUCCUACGGGAGAAAGCAGGGGACCUUCGGGCCUUGCGCUAUCAGAUGAGCCUAGGUCGGAUUAGCUAGUUGGUGGGGUAAUGGCUCACCAAGGCGACGAUCCGUAACUGGUCUGAGAGGAUGAUCAGUCACACUGGAACUGAGACACGGUCCAGACUCCUACGGGAGGCAGCAGUGGGGAAUAUUGGACAAUGGGCGAAAGCCUGAUCCAGCCAUGCCGCGUGUGUGAAGAAGGUCUUCGGAUUGUAAAGCACUUUAAGUUGGGAGGAAGGGCAGUUGCCUAAUACGUAACUGUUUUGACGUUACCGACAGAAUAAGCACCGGCUAACUCUGUGCCAGCAGCCGCGGUAAUACAGAGGGUGCAAGCGUUAAUCGGAAUUACUGGGCGUAAAGCGCGCGUAGGUGGUUUGUUAAGUUGGAUGUGAAAUCCCCGGCUCAACCUGGGAACUGCAUUCAAACUGACUGACUAGAGUAUGGUAGAGGGUGGUGGAAUUUCCUGUGUAGCGGUGAAAUG